CACGGGGGGAGCAAGCGUUGUUCGGAAUCACUGGGCGUAAAGGGCGUGUAGGCGGCCGUGUAAGUGGGAUGUGAAAUGCCCCGGCUCACCCGGGGAUCUGCAUUCCAAACUGCUCGGCUUGAGUAUGGGAGAGGAUGAGGGAAUUCCUGGUGUAGCGGUGAAAUGCGUAGAUAUCAGGAGGAACACCGGUGGCGAAAGCGCUCAUCUGGCCCAAUACUGACGCUGAUGCGCGAAAGCUAGGGGAG
rnacentral:rRNA from 1 species